rnacentral:tRNA from 1 species
GCCCCCGUAGCCCAAUGGCAGAGGCAGGCGGCUUAAACCCGCUCAAGUGCGAGUUCGACUCUCGCCGGGGGCAC